rnacentral:lncRNA from 10 species
GCAGAGGGAGGUCAGUGCUGGCACCUGCAGCCCUGUCAGCCUGCGAGGGUGUAGAGGUUUGGGAGGUCUUAGCAAAGUGGUGCAUACAGAUCGCAGAGGCUGGGUGGAGGGAGGAGAGGGUCAGGUCAGGGCUCCCCAGCCCUCGCUGAGCCAUUGGCUCGGCAGCCUCCUGGUUGGAGAGGAAGAGUGGGGAGAGGCAGGGAAAGGAGAGGGACGCAAACAGGAGAAGGAGAGGGUUUUUGCUCAGAGCCAGCCUGCCACCCUCUCCUUUCCCAGCACUAGGCUGCAUCUGGGAGGGAGGCUGCAGGCUGGAGAGCAGGGGAUUUGAGUUCCAAUCCUGAGGCUCCACUAGGUGGUGUGUGACCUUGAGCAAGGCCCUGCCCCUCCCCAGGCCUCCUAUGGAGAUGGUAUUGGGUCUUAUGUCCCUCAAGGCUCCUUGUGGCUCCCCUCUGCCUGCCAGCCACAGCCUCAUGCAUCUCAGAGUCUCAGAACAU